AGCCUAAAGAUUUGGCUUGGAUUGGGUUCGUUUUUUUCGCCCAAAGAUUAUUAUGCACGACUUCAUACCUAAAAACAAGAAACCCCAACAAUUAGAAAAAAAACAUGAAAUUCAUGCUCUUGAACUCUCACAAACAAUCUUACAAUGAGCAACUCUCAACUCUUAACUCGCUGACUUAGAGAUGAUGAAGAUGAUGCGGGCAACGAUUGCUGCUUUUUCUUCUUCUUUGAAGGUUAGUUAUGGAAGCAGCAACACCAGAGAUGAAAGGAGAAUGAAAAUUGUGGAGAUGGGUGGUGCUCAAGAGCUCGUGAAUAUGUUGGGGGUUGCUAAAGAUGACAACACAAGGAAUGAGGCUUUGAAAGCUCUUACCGCUCCAUCACCCUCAGGUCCAGACAUUUUCAUUCACAGUUGGUACUACAUGAAUCUAUGUUUAUACCUUGAAAUUUUGUUAAUUUUAUAGAAUAGGUGUAUCAACUUAAAUUCCGGGAUGCUAAAGAUAAGUAUCUUACAUUACUAUAUUUCCUUAUUUUCCUCCCA